rnacentral:rRNA from 1 species
UCUGAACCUUCGGGGAACGAUAACGGCGUCGAGCGGCGGACGGGUGAGUAAUGCCUAGGAAAUUGCCCUGAUGUGGGGGAUAACCAUUGGAAACGAUGGCUAAUACCGCAUAAUGCCUACGGGCCAAAGAGGGGGACCUUCGGGCCUCUCGCGUCAGGAUAUGCCUAGGUGGGAUUAGCUAGUUGGUGAGGUAAGGGCUCACCAAGGCGACGAUCCCUAGCUGGUCUGAGAGGAUGAUCAGCCACACUGGAACUGAGACACGGUCCAGACUCCUACGGGAGGCAGCAGUGGGGAAUAUUGCACAAUGGGCGCAAGCCUGAUGCAGCCAUGCCGCGUGUGUGAAGAAGGCCUUCGGGUUGUAAAGCACUUUCAGUCGUGAGGAAGGUAGUGUAGUUAAUAGCUGCAUUAUUUGACGUUAGCGACAGAAGAAGCACCGGCUAACUCCGUGCCAGCAGCCGCGGUAAUACGGAGGGUGCGAGCGUUAAUCGGAAUUACUGGGCGUAAAGCGCAUGCAGGUGGUUUGUUAAGUCAGAUGUGAAAGCCCGGGGCUCAACCUCGGAAUUGCAUUUGAAACUGGCAGACUAGAGUACUGUAGAGGGGGGUAGAAUUUCAGGUGUAGCGGUGAAAUGCGUAGAGAUCUGAAGGAAUACCGGUGGCGAAGGCGGCCCCCUGGACAGAUACUGACACUCAGAUGCGAAAGCGUGGGGAGCAAACAGGAUUAGAUACCCUGGUAGUCCACGCCGUAAACGAUGUCUACUUUGGAGGUUGUGGCCUUGAGCCGUGGCUUUCGGAGCUAACGCGUUAAGUAGACCGCCUGGGGGAGUACGGUCGCAAGAUU